rnacentral:lncRNA from 1 species
CCAUGCACACUGUUCCUAGUGCUAAAUAAAAGUGUCCAAAGCCUACAAAACUACUACUUGUCACGGAUUCAGAUUUCUAAUUAGGAGACAGAGGACAGCGGAACACCUGGGUCAGCUGCUGACCAGUGUGGUGAGAGAACACCAGCGCAGGGCAGAGGGCAGAGGCUGAAGGAGGAGGGUGGAACACUGCUGCUUCAUUAGGAGACACGUCGUGGAGAAGGUGGACUUUGUCUAAAGAUCUGAAGGCAAAGAUGAGGUGCUACCUGAGGAAGAGUCUUCUAGAACAAGGGGGCCCAGUGUGCAAAGACACUUGGAGUAGAGGCUCUGGUCUUGGCAAACAUGUGUACUCUAUUCAGUCCCUUAGAGAACACCACGGGCUCGUCAUCUGAAAUACAGCGUCCACCCUCAUUGCUUUCUCUCUUCCUCAGACCACACUUCAAUAAUCACUGCCUCAUUACUUUCAUGGUCUAAUUUCUGGACCCCUAUAUCUUGUCCCCCACACACAUACACUUAUACCCUCUUCAGCAUAGAUGCUAUGUGAUUCUAUUAAAACAAGUCUAUUCGUGCUAGGUUUCAAAGUCUCCCAUGGUUUCACAAAUCACGCCACACAAAUGCCUCGCAUCUUGUCCAUUGCCUGCUCAGCCCCCACCCCCACCCCCUGCCUCUAACCCGUCACUCAUAUGCCUAAACUCGCUCACUCAGCCUCGUCUCCAGUCCUUCAGACUCCUCCUGUUCUACAAGCUUCGGAAGUCAGCAUUUAUCUGGCAUUAAGAACAGCGUGUGUGGUAGCUACUCAAUAGCUCCUUGUUGAAAAGGGUACUGCUCUGUCACUGGAAAAAGCCUUGAGCGUAUGAAUACACAUGCUGUGGUAACUGAGCUCUGUGACAUCCCUCAAUGACCCUUGCCUUCUGGCUGCCCUGCCUUGGUGGACUCUCCUCCCACAAUGGAUCAGAGUGAACCUAUUUGACCCAGAGAUUACAUGAUGGUGUGUGACUUCCCAGAUUAGAUUACAAGACAUAGAACAAUCACUACUUUUUCCUCUGAGGGGCGCCAGUUGCCGUGGGAGCACUCAUCUACCCUGAAAGUGAGUUCAGUGGCAAGUGACUGAGACCUCCAUCCAAUAACCAGUACCACCCCCAUCUAGUAACCAAUACCACUUCCCCAUCUAAUAACCAAUAUUACCCACCCAUCCCCAUUUAAUGACCAACACCAUUUGCCAGCCACUGAAAGAGAUUUGCCUGCUUAUAACUAAGUUUUCAUAUGGCCACAACUUUGGUCAACAUCUUGACUAAAACUUCAUGAGUGACUGUCCAAGGCAGAACCAAUCAGCUGAUGUUCUCAUUUCUGGUACACAGGUAACAUUCGAGACUACCCUUACUGUUUAGUGGUACUGCUUUGGGAGAAAUUUAUACCUGGAUUUACUAUAUGGAAAUGCUGUAUCCGAAAUCUAAAAUGUGAGUAGAAUCCUGCAAUCCAACACUGAGUAAGAACCAGGAGGAUAAAGAUGAAGAUGAAGAUAAAGUGAAAACACUAAACGACUUUGAAGUGACAGCCACUGGGGCUAAUGGGACAUGAGGAAAACAUCACUCUGCAUGAGAAGAAAGGAGAACCUUUUUAAGUACUGGUAAGAAAGUUAGCAUGCUGUUGCCUGGGACAAAGUAGAAAUGCUCCUGUUGACAUGGGGACAUCUAUCUGAGGAAAUUCCCAGGCAGGGUAUUAAAGAGUAUGGGUUUAGACUUUCUAUAAAAUACAAUGAGACAAAUAAGCUAAAAGAAGAGCUAUUUUAAUUUUUAAUUUUUUUAAAAUUUAAAGUAAAAAAAAUGCUAUAUUUAAAGGUUCCUAGCCUCUAUGGAUGCCUCGGUGCUAGACUGUGAAAAUGCCUUCUAGGUAAAGAUAACAUCAGAGGCAUCAGAGGAAAGCAUGAUAAGAAGAUAAAGCCUACCUUGUGUUUGUAAAAUCACUUGUUAAGAUCUGGGAAUAUCCAGGCAGUGCCUUGGGGAACAACUGAGAGGAACAACAGAGGCUUCUAACGAGGCUAAAGGUCAUACUCUUGUGCAGUCCCCAAAUCCCCAUGGCAGCCUAACAUCCAAGAAUGAUCUUCUCAGAAGACCCAUGGUCGUGGUCUUAACAAAUGUAAUGAGCAUCACUCAUAUUUCCAGAGGAACCACAACUUUUAUAGACUUAGCGAGGCCAUAUCUAACGAGGACUCAAAGAGACAUGGACAAUUUAAAGUGAAGAGGCCUCUGAACUCUAGGAAGAAGGGAAACCAUGAAAGCAGAAAAUAUGGACUGUGUGUAUGGAAAGACACUCUAGAAAGCACAGAAGGAGCCGAGAACCAGAGGGACCUAUUCUCUGGCUCUGGCUCUUAAUCAGGGAGGGACUCCUGCAGGUCCUGAUGAAGUUCUGUUCUGCUAUGGACCAGUGUGUCUUGUGUGAUGGCUAUCUUUCUCCUCUGUGUGUCAUCCCCUCAUGCUCUCCUUGAAUAUUGAGUUUCAUGUUAGGUUUCAGCAGACAGAUAACCUAUGUCUUCAGAGCCUAGGCCACAAACAAACCCCAAUAACAACUAAAACUUUUGUGUGAAACCAAAAGGGAAAUUGAAAAAAGUCUUGAAGACCAGUGAAAAAGGAAAUAAAGCAAUAACAAACACAGGGUGCGGCAAAAGAAAUCCAGGGUUUUAGGAGUCAAGAAAUGGGCUUGAGUCUCCCUAGGCUUCUGUAGAGGCAGAGCUGAAGCAAUGCUGAGAUGGGAGUGAGAGACUUGGAAGGGAUACAACUCUGCACGUUAAAAGUCACAAAUCAAUGGGUGCCUAAGGUGAGUCUCGUGUCCCAGGUCCGAGAUGGCCUUUGGUGACCUGAUUCAUGUUAGUGCAGACAGACCUCUUCCCCAGUGAGUGGGGUUGGUCUGUGUAACAGAAUAUUUCCGAAGGAAGGCAUGUGACUCCAGUGACUAGGUUAGGAAAUACUUAGCAGCUUCUACGCCUUGCUUUGUUGGAUCACUUACUGUGUGAGAAAUCAGCUGCUAUAAUAUGGCAUAUCCAUAAUAUGGGGAUACCCAAGCAGCUGUAUGCUCCAUAUGCUCCUGAAAUUCUAACUCAGAGCAGAGAGAUAAAAUGUUCAUUGUUUCACUGGGAGACUAAGUUUUAUGAAAAUAUUGUAUGCAGCAAAGGAUACUCAACACAAAUAAAACUGACAUGUUUUCCAAAUCUUUAGAAACUGAAGUUCCAUGACAGCCCUAACUUUAGUAGGUACAUUUCUUGUCACUGUAACAAGAUGGCUGGCAGAGACAGUCUAAAAGAAGUAAAUUUUUUGGCUCGUGGGUUUUUGUUUGUGUUUGUAUAAUAUAGUAUUUUAAUUACCUCUCUGAGUUCGAUGCCAGCUUGGUCUACACAGUGGGUUCCAGGGACAGCCAGGACUACAUAGAGAGACCCUGACUCAACAAAACAAAACAAACAAAUAACUAUUUGUGUGAAGCCAAAAGAGGGUUGUUUUUGUUUUGUUUUGAUCUACCAAUGAAAACAGAAAUGUAGAAAAUGGAAACACACAGGACACAAAGAAGUCCCGAGAGGAAAGUUGAUGGUGAUACAUGCCAAUAAUGAGAAAAAAGAAAGAUCUCAAAUAAACGACCUGAUUCUAUAUCUCAAGGAACUAGAGAGAGAGAGAACAGGAAGAAAAUCAAUACGAGAUCUAGUAGGAUAAUAUACAUAGGACACGCCAGAGCAUAAAUAGAUGAAGAAGCAGUUCGAGAAUCAACAUGUUGUGGUGGAGCAUCAGUUAUUCCAUGAACAUCACAGAGUAGAAACAGCGGUGGUCCAGUAGCCAUGGCAACAAAACAAGCAGAAGAACACAACAACAGCUAGGUGUGUAGUAACAGUAAGGAAGUUAUUGACAAGAUGCUGAUGGAAAGUAUACUCAGAGUACCCUUGCUUGGGAUUCUAGCCAUUCCGUUUCCACGCCUUCCCCAGCAAGUGAUCUUGGCAGAUGCUUGAGCCCACAGAAGUAGAAGUGUGAUUCAGGGAUGCAGCUUCCAUAGGGUUCUUAUCCAGGAUGGGAUGGCAUGUUGCAGUGAUAAAGCUGUUUAGACAUCACCCACACUUCUGUUACGGUUCAUUCGUGCUCCUGUAAGCUCAAUAUACUAACUAGUUCAGCAAGCUUGACUUGAGUGGGCUCAUUACCUUGGUCUGUCCCAAUCUGGGGCAAAUAAAUGUUUAUUUAUCUCUUCCCAGAAGAAGAAAUGCAACAAAACAGAAAAGAUCAGUGAAACUUGAAGCUUUUUUUUUUUAAAGAUUAAAGCGAACAAACUUUUACCUAGAUUAGUAAGAGGGAAGAGUCAAAUAAGCAAUUGACAUCAUAAAAUGAAGAAGACGUCACAGUUAGUACUGCAGAAUCACAAAGCCUAAGAGACUGGGGUGAGCAGGAUCUUCAACAAGCCGAACAACCUAGAAGAGAUGGACAGGUUCCUCAGAACGACAGCCUAACAGGAUGGAGCCACAGACAGAGACUGACGGAUUAGUAACCAGUGUGGAGAUGGAAGUAUCUCCAGGACCUCACCCCGGCUUCCCAAUGGUUCCCUGGUUCUUGUGAUCUCAACUGACCUAUUGUAGAUGCUAUAGAGAGGCAAGAUGGCGUCCAAAGCUGAUUAUGAAGGAGGAGGUUCAUCCUCAGCAACCUUCAAGCUUGCUCAUUUCUAAGUAGCAAACACUAUCAACAAUCAUGAAGUCUGGAGCUUAGAAGAAUGUGGUAAUGUGCAGGACUAGAAGGGAGGGAGCCCUGUUUCGAGGUUGCAUCCACACUUUUAAACUCUCCUGAAGUCUCUAUGAUAAGAGGAAUCUAACCGAAACGAUUGGCUUGCAAACAUCUCGGCACUACUAAGUACAACACACACAGGGCCAUUCUAUCAAAGCCUUGAGUUAGAGGUCCGCUCUGAGAACCAUGCUCUGCAGACCAUGCUCUGAGGACCACGCCCCGCUGUGAGAAAAACAGAGCCGACCUCACACCUUGGUACCUCCCCGUCUUCAAUAGAUUAAAAAGGACUGCAGCAAGAGCUUGCAAGCCUCUCUCUCACUUCCUCUCUCUUGCUCAGGAGAACUGUGAGAACUAACUGUUGAUCUGAAAGCAACCAUGAUUUGCUACAGAGGUGCGAGCUUGCACAGAGACCUGUGAAAUCCCACAGAACACAGGAAGUGUCUAAUUCCGCUGGAUCGGGCUGGUGUCAAGGCAGCUGACAGCUUCAGAGCCAAGAGCCUCCAGAAUCCUUUUUGGUAAGGAAUGUCAGCUACAAGGGGAAUCCCUACCUCACCAUCUACACAGAGUUCAAAGGAAAUGCAGAUUUAAUCAUUUGGUUUCUGUGUGACUUUCAAGUCAAAGUGAAACUAGAAUGUGAAUAUCAGAGCGUGUGAACCUUUUUGGUACGAAGCCUGGGUUCCCCUCUUACUGCUGCGGUGUGUAGAGGAUUGUGCAAUGUAAUAGCAGCAUCCAAGAUACACAGGGUCUCUGCUUCGACUCUCAAGAUGACUGCUGAUGCUCGGAGCUGAGCUGCAGAGUGCAGCAGCUCAUUGUUUGGGCCAGGAGUGUGCACGUGAAAAAUGACUCGCCGCACACUCUGCUUCCAUUCUGGUGCUCCGGGAAUGGAUUGACUUCAAAGAACUCUUUAAAAAUUAAAGUUAGGGGGACUGGAGAGAUGGCUCACUGGUUGAGAUUACUGACCGCUCUUCCAGAGGAGCCAGGUUCAAUUCCCAGCACCUAUAUGGCAGUUCAUAACUGUCUGUAACUCCAAGAUCUGACACCCUGAUGCAGACAUACAUGCAAACAAAACACCAAUGCACAUGAAAUAAAACUAAACUUAGAAUGCCACCUAGCAGUAGUGAAACUAAGUUCAAUCCCCAGAGCCAUUAAAUAAAUAUAAUGCAUGUAUAUGCAUAUAUACAUAUACAUAAUCUAUUUAUAAUUUAUAUUUCUCCAUUGGUGAACAAAAGUUAGAAUACAUGUUCAUUGUUAAAAAUAAGAAACAGAACACGGGUGAUGACCAACCUAAACAUCACCAGUGUGGUCUUACACAAAUAGGUUCCCUUUUCUUAUUUCAUUUAGAAACCCACUAAGCAAUUGGUGUAAUACUCCAUUUAGAGCAAGAACACCACAGAGUUGUCUCUGAUAUCCACAUAAAUGCUAUGACAUGCUUGCCUCCCUAUAUACACACAUCAUGUAUGUGUGUGUGUAAACACAUACACACACACACACACACACACACACACACACAGAGAGAGAGAGAGAGAGAGAGAGAGAGAGAGAGAGAGAGAGAGAGAUAUUAAAAAUAAAUCUAGUACCAGAACCUGAGUUUGAUCCCCCAAACCAUGUAAAAAAAAAAUCCAACCAUGUGAUGUAUGCUUGUAAUUCUAGCUCAGGGGAGGGAGAGCCAGGCAGACAGAUCCCUUUGUCUGAAGAAAGAAAGUGGAUGUCUCCAUGGAAGGACACCUGAAGUUAACCUCUGACCCCCACAGGCAUGCACAUGCAUAUGAACAUGUACCCACACACAUGAACAUACACAGGAAAACACUUCUCUUACGCCAUGCAUACCAUAAUUUGUAUAAAAUUCCACCAUAAAGGAGAGCUGGUUUCAGCUUCCUUUAUUAUAAACUAUACUGCAGCAACUAUAUGUGAAUACACAUUUUUUU